rnacentral:rRNA from 1 species
AAUGAACCGGCGAGUUACGAUUUGAUGCAAGGUUAAGCAGUAAAUGUGGAGCCGUAGCGAAAGCGAGUCUGAAUAGGGCGUUUAGUAUUUGGUCGUAGACCCGAAACCAGGUGAUCUACCCUUGGUCAGGUUGAAGUUCAGGUAACACUGAAUGGAGGACCGAACCGACUUACGUUGAAAAGUGAGCGGAUGAACUGAGGGUAGCGGAGAAAUUCCAAUCGAACCUGGAGAUAGCUGGUUCUCUCCGAAAUAGCUUUAGGGCUAGCCUCAAGUGAUGAUUAUUGGAGGUAGAGCACUGUUUGGACGAGGGGCCCCUCUCGGGUUACCGAAUUCAGACAAACUCCGAAUGCCAAUUAAUUUAACUUGGGAGUCAGAACAUGGGUGAUAAGGUCCAUGUUCGAAAGGGAAACAGCCCAGACCACCAGCUAAGGUCCCAAAAUAUAUGUUAAGUGGAAAAGGAUGUGGCGUUGCCCAGACAACUAGGAUGUUGGCUUAGAAGCAGCCAUCAUUUAAAGAGUGCGUAAUAGCUCACUAGUCGAGUGACACUGCGCCGAAAAUGUACCGGGGCUAAACAUAUUACCGAAGCUGUGGAUUGUCCUUUGGACAAUGGUAGGAGAGCGUUCUAAGGGCGUUGAAGCAUGAUCGUAAGGACAUGUGGAGCGCUUAGAAGUGAGAAUGCCGGUGUGAGUAGCGAAAGACGGGUGAGAAUCCCGUCCACCGAUUGACUAAGGUUUCCAGAGGAAGGCUCGUCCGCUCUGGGUUAGUCGGGUCCUAAGCUGAGGCCGACAGGCGUAGGCGAUGGAUAACAGGUUGAUAUUCCUGUACCACCUAUAAUCGUUUUAAUCGAUGGGGGGACGCAGUAGGAUAGGCGAAGCGUGCGAUUGGAUUGCACGUCUAAGCAGUAAGGCUGAGUAUUAGGCAAAUCCGGUACUCGUUAAGGCUGAGCUGUGAUGGGGAGAAGACAUUGUGUCUUCGAGUCGUUGAUUUCACACUGCCGAGAAAAGCCUCUAGAUAGAAAAUAGGUGCCCGUACCGCAAACCGACACAGGUAGUCAAGAUGAGAAUUCUAAGGUGAGCGAGCGAACUCUCGUUAAGGAACUCGGCAAAAUGACCCCGUAACUUCGGGAGAAGGGGUGCUCUUUAGGGUUAACGCCCAGAAGAGCCGCAGUGAAUAGGCCCAAGCGACUGUUUAUCAAAAACACAGGUCUCUGCUAAACCGUAAGGUGAUGUAUAGGGGCUGACGCCUGCCCGGUGCUGGAAGGUUAAGAGGAGUGGUUAGCUUCUGCGAAGCUACGAAUCGAAGCCCCAGUAAACGGCGGCCGUAACUAUAACGGUCCUAAGGUAGCGAAAUUCCUUGUCGGGUAAGUUCCGACCCGCACGAAAGGCGUAACGAUUUGGGCACUGUCUCAACGAGAGACUCGGUGAAAUCAUAGUACCUGUGAAGAUGCAGGUUACCCGCGACAGGACGGAAAGACCCCGUGGAGCUUUACUGUAGCCUGAUAUUGAAAUUCGGCACAGCUUGUACAGGAUAGGUAGGAGCCUUUGAAACGUGAGCGCUAGCUUACGUGGAGGCGCUGGUGGGAUACUACCCUAGCUGUGUUGGCUUUCUAACCCGCACCACUUAUCGUGGUGGGAGACAGUGUCAGGCGGGCAGUUUGACUGGGGCGGUCGCCUCCUAAAAGG